UAGCAAUACGAGCGGCGAACGGGUGAGUAACACGUGAACAAUCUGCCCUUGUGUGGGGGAUAACCAUCCCAACGGAUGGCUAAUACCGCAUAACGUACGGGGAGGGCAUCCUCCUUUUACCAAAGAUUUAUCGCACAAGGAUGAGUUCGCGUCCCAUUAGCUAGUUGGCGGGGUAACGGCCCACCAAGGCAACGAUGGGUAGCCGGCCUGAGAGGGUGUCCGGCCACAUUGGGACUGAGAUACGGCCCAGACUCCUACGGGAGGCAGCAGUAGGGAAUUUUGCACAAUGGGGGAAACCCUGACGCAGCAACGCCAUGUGUGGGAUGAAGCAUUUCGGUGUGUAAACCACUGUCGGCAGGGAAUAAAGCCCACCUUUAUGGUGGGGGUGAAUGUACCUGCAGAGGAAGCCCCGGCUAACUUCGUGCCAGCAGCCGCGGUAAUACGAGGGGGGCAAGUGUUGUUCGGAAUCACUGGGCGUAAAGGGAGCGUAGGCGGGCUCUUAAGUUGGAUGUUUAAAACCGGGGCCCAACCCCGGCGUGGCAUCCAAAACUGGGAGUCUUGAAUGGAACAGAGGCUAGUGGAAUUGGAGGUGUAGCGGUGGAAUGCGUAGAGAUCUCCAAGAACACCCGUUGCGAAGGCGGCUAGCUGGGUUCACAUUGACCCUGAGGCUCGAAAGCGUGGGGAGCAAACAGGAUUAGAUACCCUGGUAGUCCACGCCGUAAACGAUGAACACUAGGUUUUGACCCCGUCAACGGGUCAGAGCCGCACCUAACGCGUUAAUGUUCCGCCUGGGGAGUACG
rnacentral:rRNA from 1 species